rnacentral:lncRNA from 1 species
ACCUGAGAUUCCCAACAGCAAGGACUCGGGCUGCUUUCAUCAAUGCCUUAACCCCAGCAUGUGACCGGGUAAUGUGUACACAGUCAAUAACUGCCAAAUAUCCAAAGGUGGGAGGAGGGGAAGUCUCCCGGCCCUUCUCUGCCCUGUGGGCACCUGUUCGUUCAGAAAGGCCUGCUACACAGGCACCAGCGUGGGGUGGGGUGAAUGGGAAAGGAGUGCAAUGGGAAUAUAAUGCCAAGUCAGAAGUAGCUCCUGUGCUUGUGGAGGAAGUGAGCGGACAGCGUUCAUCAGUGUGGGAGACAGACAUUUACUGAAGGAUGACACAAAGGAACAUAAAAACUGUGGCAGGAAGUGUUCUGUAGAUGUGAAUCCCAUCGAUCCACCCCCUGCAAUGGGGAGUUGGGGAGGAGAGGACAAGACUAGAAAGGACUAGAUGGAGCAAAUGGAGUGGAUCCAGCUUCCCCUCUAAUCAACCAUGUUUCAGAAUCAGGAGUGACCAAGUUGGUCACUUGAGCUAUAAUGGAGACUAGAGAUGAGGUUAUGGGCAUUCUUCUGGAGGCACACAAGGUAAGAAGGCCCAGCUACACGCUGUCCUUGGGAGCAACGAGUCCAGCUGGCCUGCCUGGAGUGACUACUCUCUCCUCCGUGCGCUGGAGCGCUGGAAGGUAUCAAGGACUGCUAAAGAAAACACCUCUGCCUUUCCCAACGCAGGCCCCGUGGAACAGGGAUAGACAAGGCUUCCAGCUGUGCCCUGCCUGUCCUCCCCCCGGGAGAGAUCCGACAGGUGGAUAGCGAGUGCAUUGUCGGGUCUUCGGGAGCUGAACUGGGCACCCGGAGGUCUCUCACUUCCUUCCCACCAC